rnacentral:lncRNA from 1 species
UAGGAUCAAGUUUUCAGGCUCGUGACUAGGGCUGGACAUGGUUCGGUUCGGUUCUAACGAGAACCGAACCGACCCGAAAUUUUCGGGUAUUUAGUAAGUGGAACCGUCGGGUCCAAAUUUAAUUACGGAACCGUUCGGGUUCGGUUCCAUUCGGUUCGAUUCGGUCUGAUUCGGUUCCAUUCGGUUCCGUAUUAUAAUUAAAUUUUUUAAUAUAUACAAAGUUACGUUAAUUUAAUU